rnacentral:tRNA from 1 species
GGAGAGGUGGCAGAGUGGAUGAAUGCAUCUGACUCGAAAUCAGACAUACCUGUAAGGUAUCGAGGGUUCGAAUCCCUCCCUCUCCGCCA